rnacentral:misc_RNA from 1 species
CUAGAUCUGUAUUUUUCACUGUUCAUAGAUAUUUGUCUCAUUCCUCAUCAGGGUGGCUUUUGAAUUUUAGAUGUCCACCCCAAAGAAAGAAUGCUUUCUGAAGACAUUUACAUACAUGUAUGUUUACAUUUAUUCUGUGUGUGUUGUAUAGUGAUCAUCAGUAUUGCCUGGUCUACACAAUUUUAUGCAGACAUCAUUGCCUAAAGAUUAUAUUAUACUGCCUUACAAUAAACAAUUGAGCAUGCAAGAACAUGAGAAAGGUUCUUUUUCUGGUUAUUUUUUUGCAUUUGUGAAUAAAUGUGGAAGGAAGUUAC